rnacentral:rRNA from 1 species
GACGUAGGGCGCGAGCGUUUGUCCGGAUUUAUUGGGCGUAAAGAGCUCGUAGGCGGUCUGUCGCGUCUGCUGUGAAAACUGGAGGCUCAACCUCCAGCCUGCAGUGGGUACGGGCAGACUAGAGUGCGGUAGGGGAGAUUGGAAUUCCUGGUGUAGCGGUGGAAUGCGCAGAUAUCAGGAGGAACACCGAUGGCGAAGGCAGAUCUCUGGGCCGUAACUGACGCUGAGGAGCGAAAGCGUGGGGAGCGAACAGG